rnacentral:rRNA from 1 species
CUCUCCCUCUUUCUUCAGGCUUAACACAUGCAAGUCGAGCGGGCACUUCGGUGUCAGCGGCAGACGGGUGAGUAACGCGUGGGAACGUACCCUUCGGUUCGGAAUAACGCUGGGAAACUAGCGCUAAUACCGGAUACGCCCUUUUGGGGAAAGGUUUACUGCCGAAGGAUCGGCCCGCGUCUGAUUAGCUAGUUGGUGGGGUAAUGGCCUACCAAGGCGACGAUCAGUAGCUGGUCUGAGAGGAUGAUCAGCCACACUGGGACUGAGACACGGCCCAGACUCCUACGGGAGGCAGCAGUGGGGAAUAUUGGACAAUGGGCGCAAGCCUGAUCCAGCCAUGCCGCGUGAGUGAUGAAGGCCUUAGGGUUGUAAAGCUCUUUUGUCCGGGACGAUAAUGACGGUACCGGAAGAAUAAGCCCCGGCUAACUUCGUG